rnacentral:rRNA from 1 species
ACGUAGGGGGCGAGCGUUGUCCGGAAUCAUUGGGCGUAAAGGGCGCGUAGGCGGCCUGGCAAGUGGAAGGUGAAAUCCCUCGGCUUAACCGAGGAACUGCCUCCCAAACUGCUUGGCUUGAGACCAGGAGAGGUGAGCGGAAUUCCAGGUGUAGCGGUGAAAUGCGUAGAUAUCUGGAGGAACACCGGUGGCGAAGGCGGCGUUCUGGACUGCAACUGACACUGUAAAACGAAAGCCAGGGGAGCAAACGGGA